AGUGAACGCUGGCGGUAGGCCUAACACAUGCAAGUCGAACGGCAGCACAGUAAGAGCUUGCUCUUACGGGUGGCGAGUGGCGGACGGGUGAGGAAUACAUCGGAAUCUACUUUUUCGUGGGGGAUAACGUAGGGAAACUUACGCUAAUACCGCAUACGACCUACGGGUGAAAGCAGGGGAUCUUCGGACCUUGCGCGAUUGAAUGAGCCGAUGUCGGAUUAGCUAGUUGGCGGGGUAAAGGCCCACCAAGGCGACGAUCCGUAGCUGGUCUGAGAGGAUGAUCAGCCACACUGGAACGGAGACACGGUCCAGACUCCUAGGGGAGGCAGAAGUGGGAAAUAUUGGACAAGGGGCGCAAGCCUGAUCCAGCCAUACCGCGUGGGUGAAGAAGGCCUUGGGGUUGUAAAGCCCUUUUGUUGGGAAAAAAAAGCAGCAGGUUAAUACCCCGCUGUUCUGACGGUACCAAAAGAAUAAGCACCGGCUAACUUCG
rnacentral:rRNA from 1 species